UGGAUAUAAACUCAUCUAGAGGUUUGAAGCAAGAUAUAAAUGGCUUCAUACUAGUAAAUUUUUCAAGGUUGAUACAUACUGGUGUGUUAUUGAAAGAUGACCCAUUUGUUUUUUCAUCUCAAGCUCAACAAGUGUUCUUCAUGCAAGACUCGAAGGAUAAAGAUUGGUCUGUUGUUAUUAAGACUAAACCUAGGGACUUGUAUGAUAUGGGAAAAGGGUUAGCAGAGGAGGAUGAUGAGACUUAUACUCAGUGUAUGCCUUUUAAUGUUCCACCAAUUGAUGAACUGAAUUUUACUAGUUUGGUUAGGAUGGAUGUUGAAUGAGAGCUGGCUAGUUUCUUAAUGAUUACAACAUGCCGCGAGGAAAACGUUUCAGAAAUAUUGAGUUUCAGCACACAUCCGUGGGAUCUACUUCUGAUCGUUCCCAGCAGCCCGAUGUGCCCUAUACUCAGUCCGGGUCCCAGUCUGAGCACGCCCCACCUGCAGAUCGUCCAGACACGGAUGACGUGGACGUCCUGGAUGGACUAGGGAGAGUGAGGAGAACACGAGGGCCCACUCGAGCACGAGACGUAUGGACCCUACCUGAGGAUGAGAAGAUUGUCGUCCAUUGCAACGAACUGGGGCAGCCCAUUAAGAAUGCAGCAAGCAUUUUAUCCACUUUUUUUAGGAUCGGUUGCGCGGAAGGGACAAUUGUGUCCGCUCAACUAUACGAAAUGGAAUGAAAUGCUUCCUUCG